UACGUAGGGUGCGAGCGUUGUCCGGAAUUAUUGGGCGUAAGGGCUCGUAGGCGGUUUGUCGCGUCGGGAGUGAAAACGCCGGGCUUAACUCGGUGCUUGCUUUCGAUACGGGCAGACUAGAGGCAUUCAGGGGAGAACGGAAUUCCUGGUGUAGCGGUGAAAUGCGCAGAUAUCAGGAGGAACACCGGUGGCGAAGGCGGUUCUCUGGGAAUGUCCUGACGCUGAGGAACGAAAGUGUGGGGAGCGAACAGG
rnacentral:rRNA from 1 species